UACGUAGGGUGCGAGCGUUGUCCGGAAUUAUUGGGCGUAAAGAGCUCGUAGGCGGUCUGUCGCGUCGAUCGUGAAAACUUGGGGCUUAACCCUGAGCUUGCGGUCAUACGGGCAUGACUGGAGUUCGGCAGGGGAGACUGGAAUUCCCGGUGUAGAGGUGAAAUUUCGUAGAUAUCAGGAGGAACACCGAUGGCGAAGGCAGGUCUCUGGGCAUUAACUACGUGAGGAGCGAAAGCUGGGGGAGCGAACAGG
rnacentral:rRNA from 1 species